rnacentral:rRNA from 1 species
UGGGGAAUAUUGCACAAUGGGCGAAAGCCUGAUGCAGCAACGCCGCGUGCGGGAUGACGGCCUUCGGGUUGUAAACCGCUUUCAGUAGGGACGAAGCGCAAGUGACGGUACCUACAGAAGAAGCACCGGCCAACUACGUGCCAGCAGCCGCGGUGAUACGUAGGGUGCGAGCGUUGUCCGGAAUUAUUGGGCGUAAAGAGCUUGUAGGCGGUCUGUCACGUCGUCAGUGAAAACUCAGGGCUCAACCCUGAGCCUGCUGGCGAUACGGGCAGACUAGAGGAAGGUAGGGGAGAACGGAAUUCCUGGUGGAGCGGUGGAAUGCGCAGAUAUCAGGAGGAACACCGGUGGCGAAGGCGGUUCUCUGGACCUUUCCUGACGCUGAGAAGCGAAAGCGUGGGGAGCAAACA